GGUUAAGCGACUAAGCGUACACGGUGGAUGCCCUGGCAGUCAGAGGCGAUGAAGGACGUGCUAAUCUGCGAUAAGCGUCGGUAAGGUGAUAUGAACCGUUAUAACCGGCGAUUUCCGAAUGGGGAAACCCAGUGUGAUUCGUCACACUAUCAUUAACUGAAUCCAUAGGUUAAUGAGGCGAACCGGGGGAACUGAAACAUCUAAGUACCCCGAGGAAAAGAAAUCAACCGAGAUUCCCCCAGUAGCGGCGAGCGAACGGGGAGGAGCCCAGAGCCUGAAUCAGUGUGUGUGUUAGUGGAAGCGUCUGGAAAGGCGCGCGAUACAGGGUGACAGCCCCGUACACAAAAAUGCACAUGCUGUGAGCUCGAUGAGUAGGGCGGGACACGUGGUAUCCUGUCUGAAUAUGGGGGGACCAUCCUCCAAGGCUAAAUACUCCUGACUGACCGAUAGUGAACCAGUACCGUGAGGGAAAGGCGAAAAGAACCCCGGCGAGGGGAGUGAAAAAGAACCUGAAACCGUGUACGUACAAGCAGUGGGAGCCUCUUUAUGGGGUGACUGCGUACCUUUUGUAUAAUGGGUCAGCGACUUAUAUUCUGUAGCAAGGUUAACCGAAUAGGGGAGCCGAAGGGAAACCGAGUCUUAACUGGGCGUUAAGUUGCAGGGUAUAGACCCGAAACCCGGUGAUCUAGCCAUGGGCAGGUUGAAGGUUGGGUAACACUAACUGGAGGACCGAACCGACUAAUGUUGAAAAAUUAGCGGAUGACUUGUGGCUGGGGGUGAAAGGCCAAUCAAACCGGGAGAUAGCUGGUUCUCCCCGAAAGCUAUUUAGGUAGCGCCUCGUGAAUUCAUCUCCGGGGGUAGAGCACUGUUUCGGCAAGGGGGUCAUCCCGACUUACCAACCCGAUGCAAACUGCGAAUACCGGAGAAUGUUAUCACGGGAGACACACGGCGGGUGCUAACGUCCGUCGUGAAGAGGGAAACAACCCAGACCGCCAGCUAAGGUCCCAAAGUCAUGGUUAAGUGGGAAACGAUGUGGGAAGGCCCAGACAGCCAGGAUGUUGGCUUAGAAGCAGCCAUCAUUUAAAGAAAGCGUAAUAGCUCACUGGUCGAGUCGGCCUGCGCGGAAGAUGUAACGGGGCUAAACCAUGCACCGAAGCUGCGGCAGCGACACUAUGUGUUGUUGGGUAGGGGAGCGUUCUGUAAGCCUGCGAAGGUGUACUGUGAGGUAUGCUGGAGGUAUCAGAAGUGCGAAUGCUGACAUAAGUAACGAUAAAGCGGGUGAAAAGCCCGCUCGCCGGAAGACCAAGGGUUCCUGUCCAACGUUAAUCGGGGCAGGGUGAGUCGACCCCUAAGGCGAGGCCGAAAGGCGUAGUCGAUGGGAAACAGGUUAAUAUUCCUGUACUUGGUGUUACUGCGAAGGGGGGACGGAGAAGGCUAUGUUGGCCGGGCGACGGUUGUCCCGGUUUAAGCGUGUAGGCUGGUUUUCCAGGCAAAUCCGGAAAAUCAAGGCUGAGGCGUGAUGACGAGGCACUACGGUGCUGAAGCAACAAAUGCCCUGCUUCCAGGAAAAGCCUCUAAGCAUCAGGUAACAUCAAAUCGUACCCCAAACCGACACAGGUGGUCAGGUAGAGAAUACCAAGGCGCUUGAGAGAACUCGGGUGAAGGAACUAGGCAAAAUGGUGCCGUAACUUCGGGAGAAGGCACGCUGAUAUGUAGGUGAAGCGACUUGCUCGUGGAGCUGAAAUCAGUCGAAGAUACCAGCUGGCUGCAACUGUUUAUUAAAAACACAGCACUGUGCAAACACGAAAGUGGACGUAUACGGUGUGACGCCUGCCCGGUGCCGGAAGGUUAAUUGAUGGGGUUAGCGGUAACGCGAAGCUCUUGAUCGAAGCCCCGGUAAACGGCGGCCGUAACUAUAACGGUCCUAAGGUAGCGAAAUUCCUUGUCGGGUAAGUUCCGACCUGCACGAAUGGCGUAAUGAUGGCCAGGCUGUCUCCACCCGAGACUCAGUGAAAUUGAACUCGCUGUGAAGAUGCAGUGUACCCGCGGCAAGACGGAAAGACCCCGUGAACCUUUACUAUAGCUUGACACUGAACAUUGAGCCUUGAUGUGUAGGAUAGGUGGGAGGCUUUGAAGUGUGGACGCCAGUCUGCAUGGAGCCGACCUUGAAAUACCACCCUUUAAUGUUUGAUGUUCUAACGUUGGCCC
rnacentral:rRNA from 1 species